GGCUGUCACAACCCCGCUGCUCCCUCCCCGCCUGCUCACGGUUCGAGGGCACAGGCGUCCUCGGUUUAAAAGGCGCCGAGGGUGCCCCUCAGGUGCUCGGGUUUGGAGUUCACAACCCGUUAAUAUAAGCGCGGCGGCGCUUGUUUUUUCCAGCAAUUGUUUUCCAGUUCCCAUUCUAGGAUAUCUGGCCGUGAUUUCCUUGAGGUGCCCAUGGAAUAGCACUGGCAUAAAAGUGGCUUGUGAGCCAGACCCCACACAAGUGUACAUCCACCUCAGAGUUGCGUUUCGCUUCCAUUCGGCCUGCAAAGAUCCUGUGUGAUUGUUAAUUUAUCUAUCACCUGCCCCAGAGUCACUGCCCCAAAGUUGUGUUCCCUCUGAUUUUUAUCUAAUCUAUUAUGUUGGCCAGGGAGUGGUGUUUCCUUUUGUUAUUUGAGAUAGGAAUUCUGUAUCCACAAAUGCUCGUAUUUCUAGUUGCUCAAGUACCUUUUAUAUUCCACUAAUAUGAUUUUUUUCCUGGAUAAACAUGUAGAUUUCACGACCACAGUUCAUUUCUAGGUUAGCGAUGCUUUUUUAGGGGCUACCACACCCAGCAUCAAUCCUUGGCACAUGCUGCUGGAUAUAACUGUAUUUUUUCUCUUCCAAUUGCCUUUCUGAUAGUCUUCUAGGAAUGGAAAAGUGCUUCUGUGCCUCAGAGCAUGUUCAGUUUUCCAACAGUAUCUUCUGCAAUAGAACAUAAAAUUAUUUCCCUGUAGAGUUUCCUUUCUGUGUCUACUUUAGGUCAUCCAGAUUGCAAAAUGACUGUGGAAUACAAGGCACGGCAUCAAAUUAGCUCACUAGUUUAAAUACGACAUUUUGUUGUUCUUGUAUUCCAUUUUAUUUUAAUGGAUACAUUUUCGUCAGAUUACUUUUUGCUACUGUUUCUUCCAUUAUAUUGCCAGUGUAAAAACCCCACUAGCAAAGCUAUGUUAGCAGGUUCACUCUCCAAUGUUUUCCAACAGCUUUUUGGUCAUUCUUUGGCAAGAUUUUCAGUGAAUUUUACAGACUUCUGUCUUACAUAUAUAGAAAUAGCUAGAUAGAUCAACAGAUAGCCACAUUUUUUUCAGUGAUUUGUAGAGUCAUGUUCACAAAUUGGAAUUACUUACUACAGGAUUUGUAGAAAAAGUUUUUUCUUGAGGCGUUAGGAUGUUUUAACUGGAUGCUUUUUAGUUUUUAAUGGAUGCCAUUUUUGUCUCUUGUUUUCUUAAAAUUUCCAUAGAAAUUUUGAUUUUUUUUAAGGGAAUUGAAUAUCUGAUCCAUUCUUCAAAGAUUUGUACAGUAUCAUGGCUCUACUUUUUUGCAUAGUUCUUUCUUAACUAUUCAUUGAGGAAUACUUACUAGAAACUUAAGGGUAAAAAUAUGUUGAAAUUCAGUGUGUUAACAUGGCAAUUAAAAAUCUAAUUUUGUGUCCGUGCAUCUUGUUACUGUACACCCUUAAAAAGCAUUCUGCUCAUUGUUUUGGGUAGCAUCAGUUCAGUUCUUGAUCCCUGCGUUACUUCUUUGCAAAGCCAGUCAAGCAAAGGCAUCUGUGUGUCCCAAAGUGGGAUUAUGACCUCAUUUUGAUAUUUUUGCUUUCCCUGAACUCUGCUUUUUAUGUUUGCCUCUGCCCUUUCUUCAGCAUGGAUUUAUUUUUCACCACUAAUCUUUAGAAGUCCCUUAGGAUUUAUAUUGGUUUCUUCUGUUCCUUUUUUUUUUCUCCCGGAGUAAGUGUGGUCUGUGAGCUUUAAUUAUAGCAUAUUUUAGGAUUCUCUAGCACUGAAUCUUAACAGAGCCUUCCACACACAGUUCAGGCAGAGAGUGGCACAGGUGCAGCACAGGAAGCCCUAAAUGAGGUAGCAGAAGAAUUUUAAAAUUAGAAUAAAUUGUACAAAACAAUGCUACCAGGGCAAAUGAUUUCCUGCUGCUGUUUGUGGCAGUGCAGGAUAUGUGCUAGGCACAAUGCACAGGAAUGUUUCUCUGGGUUUAUCAGUACACUUUGGUAUUAUCAUUAAAUAGAUGGUUACACUGGAGAGUUGAUGGAGAGAGAAGAGGUGCUAAACUUGCAGGAGAGGGGUUGAAGGAGGUGGGUUCAGGAUGUGACAAAAAACACCAAGAUGGGAGGGAAAGGAGGCGGAACUUGUCCAGAUCCUUAAGAACAUCCAGGGCAUUGCGAGUUUGCACAUGUCCAUUCCAGGGUAAAACACAUUUGUGAAUAGCUACAUGCCAAAAGAAAAGUCUUAACAUAGUUGGGAGACAUCAAAAUGUUCAAAGGUAAUUAAUUGCAUGAAAUGUUUUUGCUCAGUGUUGCAGACAUCACAUAUCAUUUUCAUCAAUGACUGAGCUACAGAUCUGUGUUUUACAGAGACACACAAGGGUUUAUUUUGGUGUUACCAUUUUCCUGUUCCAGGGUAAUCUCUAAUCUUGUUGCCAGUGGUUUUUCUGUAAAUAAAUUCUGACUUCUUCCUCUGAAAUAAUUAUAUUGUGUAUUUUUUUUCUUUUAAUAUGCAUUUUUUUAUUAGUAUUUUCACACCUGUAGCUGUACUAGAACACCUGUUCUCUAAUUUCUUUUGUAUUUCUUCCUAAAUCUUGGAACAAGUUUACAACAGCCUUUUCAAUCAACUGUUAUCCUCUUCAUGUUCAAAUGUUUCAUAAAAAAUUUUGCCUCCUCUAAUUCUUCUUGGAAGGGUACAAUACUAAGGUUUGUGGGGUUUUUUGAAAAAUAGUUAAGCAAUAUUUUAUUAAGUCAUUGAUUUUGUCAUUACUGCUCUUGUCUUCUGCAUGGAUCUUUCUCAUUUUUUGGGAGCUGUUCAUCAUGUGAAAUCAACUUUAUGUACUUAAUGAGAACUGUGUCUGUACUUACUGGAGUAUUUUGCAAAAGGUAAAUUAGAAAAUUAAGUGUAAGGUCUGAGGCAGAAAAUUCCACAAGCCAAUACAGAAUUUAAGGUGUGCUUUAUUAGUUACAUCUCUCUUUUCAAGUGUUUUCACUGCAUUUAAUUCAGCACUACACUAUAUUGCCUGUUAUGGUCCAGUCUGUUUUACUGGCCUAUCAUAAACAAUCUUUAUGUGAUCAAGUACCAUUUAGCACUUACUUUAAGACACUUUUGAGAUAAUGCCAUUUUAAUUGAAAAUCUUGUUUAAUUCCAGUGGAUGGGAACUGCCAUCUUGUUGUUGUGAAGUAAUUACUGAGCUCUGAAGAGAGUGUUUGAGGCUGUGCUACUCUUCUCAGGAGAAAAAAAGGAUAAAGAGAAUCAUUCUUCUAGAAGAAAAUAUAGUUUGAAAGAUACCAGGAGCACUGGGCCCUAUUCUGCCUAGGCUGUAGCAGCAUAAAGUUUCAUUAAAUAAGGAGUUGAGGAAAACACCCUGGUAGGAUGGAGUGCCGUGAAGGUGGAGAAGAAUCAGAGAAAAGGUAAGUAGUAUUUUUAUUAUUUGUGACAUCAAAUAGCAAUUAUAUGCAUUUGCUAUGGCUUCUGAAGGGAAGCCCUUUAGCCCAAGUGCUCUAGGCUGCAUGCUCAGCGGUAUUGCCACAAAAUUAUCCAAAACAAGAGCAGAAUAAAUGAAAAAUAUAUCUUCAUCUUGCAGUAAACCACAUGAGAAUGUGUUUUCUUAUGGGAAACUUUACCUAACUCCAUUCCAGUGCUCAAAUCUUCCCUACCAUGAACACCUUAUUCCCACAACAUUUCUUUUAAACACACUCCAGCAGUGUUUUCCUCAUAUAGUCUGUAGGAAGCGUCACAUGAAGCUUAGUCAUCCAAUUGAUCUCAUUCCCACAUCCUGCAUACAGCCUAAAAUUUAUACAUGUAAAUUGAGGACAUUAGAAGGCAUGAAUGAAAGGAGAAGAAAAUGGAUCCUGUCUGAAAAAAAUAUCACUGUCUUUUUUCAUCUUAAAACCUCCAAGUGAGGCUUCAGAAGCAAUGGGAGUGUUAAGUGGUGGUUUAUUUUACCUAGGUUAAAAAAACCUGCCUAGCAUUUCUGCUCGAGUUUGAUCUUUUUCCUCCUCCUCUCAGUUAGCUGUGGACACUUUCAAAGAGCACAGCCACCUUUUUUAAACUUUUCUUCCUGUAGGUGCAGGAAUAAACACAAGAUAUUUUCCUCUUAUUCAUUGUAUAUUAGCCUGGUUAUACAAAUUUUUCUGGUAGCUUUCAAGGGCUACAGUGUUCAGUGGGGUGGCAAAAGCAAUUUCAUUGAAGUCAUCUAGAAUUUCACCCUUAGAAAAAGAAACAUUGGUUUGCAUUCUUCUCCAGAUUUUGAUGAUAAUGGGCCUGGAACAAGGUCUCUGUGUUCUUGAUUUUUUUUCAUUCUUUAGGAACAAGGAAAAGGGUGGGGGUUGCAUAAGUCUUGCAACUGAAUAUUUUUCCUCUUGGAUAAUCCAGUUUCCAGUCCAAUAAUCUACUUCUGUGGAACAACAAUGCAAUAGGAUAGCCUAAAAUAGGAAAGGAUUUCAGUUUUUAAAGUUAGUUGUUGGAACAGUCGAAGUAUAAGAAAAUUCUGUGCAUGCUGUAUAUGUCUGACAACUGUUUAAAAUUGUGUCCUCAUCUGGAUGUUCUUGAAAAAAUAAAGUUUUUAUGGUGAUCUUUCUUUGUGUUGCAUCAGUCUUCAACAAUCCUUACAAGUUUCCAGGUCUCAUUUAUUGCUUCCUCCUAGCAUGUAAACCAAUAAGAAUGGAUGUCUGCAACAGAAAAAGUAAAGCAAGAGAGGUCUGAUUCAUACGGACAACUCCUGUGGUUGAAUUGAACUUUCAGGGUGAAACCCAACAUGAGACAGAUCAUGCCAGACAUGCCUGCUUUCUAGAGUAACUUCUUUUCUAGAUAAACAAACUUGUCACACUGAAGAAAAGGGAAAUUUUUAAGGUAAGUGUCAGAUGGGCAAAGAAAUAGCCCAGAGGAAAAGGUAGCAAUAUGGUACACUUAAUGGCAGGGGGAAGUUGGAGCUCUGUCUGGAAAUUGAUAUUUAAACUCAUAUUGUUCAAUUUUUUCAUUAGUGAUCCUGGCACAAAACCUAGAACUUGCUAAUGAGCUCUGUUGGCAUCACAAAGUUGGGAAAUAGUUCCUGUAGUGUGGUGUUGUACUGAACUAAUUGGAUGAGCUUGAGGCAUAGAGAAAUAAAAUGGGAUGCAAUAUAAAGUACAAGGUCAUGUGUUAGAGCCUAAUGGGAAAGGCUCCCUGAUAAAAGCUCAGAGCUUGUCCGGUGGAAGAUGACAGAAUUUUAAAGAAGUGGGUGUGCAAGCCAGAGACAGAGUGGCUCUGAGUCACUGAUUUGAUGCUACUGUGGAAAAUGUGAAUCCAGUCACAAAUAAUUUCAUUCCUGUACUUCUUGUACGCAUAAAACAGUACUAAUGCAAUGUGUUGCACAUGUGGUCAGUGACACCUUAAAACAGAACAAAUCUGGAAAUCCACAUGCAAGAAAUUGAACUUAGAAGAGUUGUAAAAAUAUGUUUUAAAUUCCUACUAAAUGAAAUGAGUGGACAAGAGACUAAAAGGACUUGAAUUUUUUAGUCUGGGCAACUGAAACAUAAAAAGUCUUACAGUCUGAAUAUACCAGCUGAAGCAAAUGUGACAGGAAAGGAAGCAUGUAUUAAUUUAAAAAAAAAAAAAAAAAGGUUGUAAUAAGAAAUUAAGAUGGGUAUGACCAAAUUUAGAUUGAAAAUUAGAGGAAGUUUUUUAACUGACGAGGUGUCUAAACAUUGCUAAGAGAAAAUGUCUUGUUCAAGGAACAUAUUCUAAAAUAGCACUGUCUUCAUCUCACAGAACCCUAGAGCUGCAGUUCUGCUUUACUGCUUCCAUCCCACUAAUGCUUCCCAUUUCCACAUUUUCCUUUCUUUAUGCCUAUUUUAUAAGCCACACCCGCAGGAAUGAUAAAGUGACAUCACUAAAUAUAAGGAGACUUUUCGUUUUGAGCUUUGUGUAGUAUCACUUCCUUUUCAGCUGGGAGACUUAAUGAGAUGGAUUUGCAUCACUGCAAAACCCAAAUAGGAAAUAGACACUUCCAUUUUAGUUCAGCUUUUCCUUCCUUUUUGUACAGCAUGUUCUUGUUGUUACCUUUGCCAGCAAAUAGUCUAAAUGUUCUCAUUAAGAACUUGAGGAAUGACAUAGUGCUGGAAUUCGCUGCCGGAAUUAAGCCUUACUUGGCUCCUUGACAUACAGUAGGCCAGCCUAGGAAGAGCCUGUCAUGCCUCAAAUGUUUGUUUAUAAUCAUUUGUAGUUAUCUUGCAUAGUCAUCUUUCAGUAAUCAAGAGGGUAAUGACCACAGUUUCACGUUAGUAUUUGCCUAGAUUAACUUGGCUCUGCAGAGAAUCUUCUCAAAAGAAAAGGAAGUGGAAUGAUACACUUUGGACUUGUGCAUGGCUGCCAGCUUUCCCCCUGUGGGGACUGGGUAUGGUCAGCCUCCUGGCACCCAGAUCUCCUCAAGAUUUGAAGCUUUUUACUUUUUUGUUUUGGAAGAUGACAGUCCAUAUGUCCUUCAGAACUCUAGAGAAAUCCAGUUCUAAGUUACACCUUCCAUGCAAAGCAGCCUGAGGGCUUUCCUGUGCUAAUGAGUACAGCCAGCUCUGAACUGGCAAAGUUCAAGCUGUUCUUUGUACAAACACCAUCGAAUAUUUUAAUCUCCAUUUGCUUUUGAAAGAAUAGUUGGCUUAAAAUACCAGGGCUUAUUUUCACUCUUGCAGUGAUUUAUAAAUCCUCUGCCUUUUGCAAGUGUUGUUUAACUUUGUCUCACAGUGUCUUUGUGCAGUAGGGAAGUAUUGCAAAUUCUGGGCCAGGUAUUUUGGAUGAAUAGUCUGUUCUCAGGAAAUCCAAUUUUCAUCUGAAAACAAAAGGAUUGUGAAUUCAUCCUGAAUUUAGUUUAAAGUUUUGUCCAAAAAUAACAGUAAGAGAAGUUAUUUGGACUUUUUAAUAGCCUAAGUUACAUCUUUAUUUGAAGAACAUCAAAUACUAAUUUGUUGAUACUUCUAUUAGUUAGAGCCUGCCCAUUGUAGAAUGAAAUCCAAUAUUUUGAGUAAAAUGAAAGUAGAACGUUAUUCUACUUGAAAUGUUUCUUGCAUUCAUUUUACACCAUAGCCAGGAAUAUUACGUGUGUACUCAUGUAAGGCUAUUUUUUACUUUCUUUAUUUUUACAAUGAAAUUCAUUCUUCAACAUAAAAACAAACAAAGAAAAAAAACCAAAACAACAGCAAAAACCCCAAACCAA